GAGGUUAAAAGCGGCAGUAAGUGCCUUUCCUUACUCUAUCGCCGACGCAGCCGCGGCUUAAGGAACGGCCGCAUUGGCGCGGCCGUUAAGCGCUACGAGCUGCCGCUACAGCGCAGGCCGCAGCUAGAUAGGACGACACGAGCAACUCCUACACCACGGCGGCAGGAACUUCCGCCUGCAGAACCGGUACCACUACCCCCGACGCACCCGGCAGCGGUAACUACCAUCCGAGGCGCGCGAUGCCACUGUCGCCCGGCCCUCUGCCGCAGGCGCGCCUUCUGCCUCCGACUCGCCAAAGACACACGACCUCAAACGAGGCCGCCGCACCUCUCCUCGAGGUCGGCCGCGUAGCGUUUCCCUACCUCCGGGGGAAGAGGGUUGGUCAGUGGCUAAUAUACACCAAACCAGCUACUCCUACCGCACUUUCUACCGACGAGGUGAGGCCCAUACAAACUACGCUCGUAUGUUUUGGAAACGGCAACGCAGGGUUGGAGAUGACAUAUAUACAUCCAAAAGAUAAAGCGACUUGGAAUGUACAGACGUUAACCAACUGUUUCUCGUGUUAAGACAUAUAAAGGAUUACGUUUAUUGAUUUUCUUCCUUACCUAUUUUACAACGGACCGCUAGCCGCCACCUCCCGGUUGCCCUCGCCCUUGCUUCAAGUGUUCGCCACCACGGUACUGGGAGAAGCUCGGUCCUGCCGGGUAGGACCCAGGGUAGCCGUACUCACGCUUCUGGGCUAAAGAGAAGAUUGUGCUGAGUACCAAGUCUUGCGUUCCUGCAUAUAACUGAAUAGAUUGAUAAAAGUAAAAGUAACCGCGGUUCAUUUGGUACCACUAUCCUUUUUCCUUCACUAACUUUCUUCCUCUAACUAGUUGCAAACUAACUUUCUUCCUUCCUCUAAAUAGUGGC
rnacentral:rRNA from 1 species